UUAAAUUAGUAAGAGCGCAUAGGUGAAUGCCUUGGCACUAGAAGAUGAUGAAGGACGUGACGAACUGCGAUAUGCUUUGGGGAGUUGUAAGUAGGCUUUGAUCCAGAGAUUUCCGAAUGGGGGAACCUGCUAAUAUGAAUUAUUAGCAACACGAAGUGAAUAAAAUAGCUUCGAUGUGAGAAACCCGGAGAACUGAAACAUCUAAGUAACCGGAGGAAAAGAAAGAAAAAUCGAUUCUCUUAGUAGUGGCGAGCGAAAAGGGAAUAGCCCAAACCAAUCUUAGGAUUGGGGUUGUAGGACCUUGAUGUGAGACCUCUUUAAUAUAGUCGAAACAGUUUGGAAAACUGUAUCUUAGAAGGUGAAAAUCCUGUAGACGAAAUAUUAAAAGGCUCUAAAGGUAUCCUGAGUAGGGCGGGACACGUGUAAUCCUGUCUGAAUCUGCGGGGACCAUCCCGUAAGGCUAAAUACUCUCUAGUGACCGAUAGUGAACAAGUACCGUGAGGGAAAGGUGAAAAGAACCCCGGGAGGGGAGUGAAAUAGAAAACUGAAACCAUGUGCUUACAAAAAGUCAGAGCCCGUUAAUGGGUGAUGGCGUGCCUUUUGCAGAAUGAACCGGCGAGUUAAUGUUGCAUGCAAGGUUAAGUAGAAGAUACGGAGCCGAAGCGAAAGCGAGUCUGAAUAGGGCGUUUAGUAUGUAGUAUUAGACCCGAAACCGAGUGAUCUAGCCAUGAGCAGGUUGAAGUUUGGGUAAAACCAAAUGGAGGACCGAACCGAUAUACCCGGAAACGUGUACGGAUGACUUGUGGUUAGCGGAGAAAUUCCAAUCGAACUCGGAGAUAGCUGGUUCUCCCCGAAAUAGGUUUAGGCCUAGCCUUGAGUGAAUCGUUAUGGAGGUAGAGCACUGAAUGUGUGCGGGCUUCUACUAGAGGUACCAAAUGCAAUCAAACUCCGAAUGCCAUAACUGAAUACUCAGGAGUCAGUGUGUGGGUGAUAACGUCCAUACGCGAGAGGAAAAUAAUCCAGAUCGCCAGUUAAGGUCCCUAAAUUCAUGCUAAGUGGGAAAGGAUGUAGAGUUGUCAAAACAGCUAGGAGGUUAGCUUAGAAGCAGCGAUCCUUUAAAGAGUGCGUAAUAGCUCACUAGUCGAGUGACACUGCGCCGAAGAUGUACCGGGGCUAAGCAUGAUACCGAAACUGCGGAUUAUAAGUAAUUAUAGUGGUAGGGGAGCGUUCCAAGGGCGCUGAAGAUAGACCGUGAGGACUGUUGGAGCGCUUGGAAGUGAGAAUGCCGGUGUGAGUAGCGCAAGAUGGGUGGAAAUCCCAUCCACCGUUUGCCUAAGGUUUCCUGGGCCAGGUUCGUCCUCCCAGGGUUAGUCGGGUCCUAAGAUAAGGCUGAAAAGCGUAGUCGAUGGAUAACAGGUUGAUAUUCCUGUACCACCUAUAUAACUGAUGGAAUGACGAAGAAAGCUAGGAAGAUCCAGUUAUUGGAUUCUGGUCUAAGCACAAAGACAGAUGAAAUAGGCAAAUCCGUUCAUUAAUAAUGUUGAAGUGUGAUGGCGAAGUGGUUUACCACGAAGUCUUCUGACGCUAUGCUUCCGAGAAAAGUUUCUAGGGUUAAUUAUAUAGGUGCCCGUACCGAGAACCGACACAGGUGGGCAAGGAGAGUAUCCUAAGGUGAGCGAGAGAACUAUGGUUAAGGAACUCUGCAAAAUGACUCCGUAACUUCGGGAGAAGGAGUGACAUAGAAAUAUGUUCGCAGCAAAGAGGCCCAGGCAACUGUUUACCAAAAACACAGCUCUCUGCUAAAUCGUAAGAUGAUGUAUAGGGGGUGACGCCUGUGAACGGCGGCCGUAACUAUAACGGUCCUAAGGUAGCGAAAUUCCUUGUCAGGUAAGUUCUGACCCGCACGAAAGGCGUAAUGAUCUGGGCGCUGUCUCAACCAUAGACUCGGUGAAAUCUUAAUACCUGUGAAAAUGCAGGUUACCCGCAACUAGACGGAAAGACCCCAUGGAGCUUUACUGUAGCUUGAUAUUGGAAUUCGAUUUAUGAUGUAGAGGAUAGGUGGGAGACGUUGAUUCUAUGACGCCAGUUGUAGAGGAGUCAUCCUUGGAAUACCACCCUUUGUAAAUUGAAUUUCUAACCUAGAGCCAUUAUCUGGUUCAGGGACAGUGUCUGGUGGGCAGUUUGACUGGGGCGGUCGCCUCCUAAAAUGUAACGGAGGUGUUCAAAGGUUCCCUCAGAAUGGUUGGAAAUCAUUCAAAGAGCGUAAAGGUAUAAGGGAGCUUAACUGCGAGACCAACAAGUCAAGCAGAUACGAAAGUAGGACUUAAUGAUCAGGCGAUUCUGUAUGGAAUGGUCGUCGCUUAACGGAUAAAAGUUACCCUGGGGAUAACAGGCUGAUACCACCCAAUAGUUCACAUAGACGGUGGUGUUUGGCACCUCGAUGUCGGCUCGUCACAUCCUGGAGGUGUAGUCGCUUCCAAGGGUUGGGCUGUUCGCCCAUUAAAGUGGCACGCGAGCUGGGUUCAGAACGUCGUGAGACAGUUCGGUUCCUAUCUGUUGUGGGCGUAGGAAAAUUGAGAAGAGCUGUCCUUAGUACGAGAGGACCGGGAUGGACAUACCUCUGGUGUAUCUGUUGUAGUGCCAACUGCAGCGCAGAGUAGCUAUGUAUGGAAUGGAUAACCGCUGAAAGCAUCUAAGCGGGAAGCCAACUUCAAGAUGAGUUUUCCCAUUGCGUAAGCAAGUAAGAUUCCUGGAAGACUACCAGGUUGAUAGGCUGGAGAUGGAAGCAUUGUAAGAUGUUGAGUUGACCAGUACUAAUAAAUCGAGGAUUUAUCCAU
rnacentral:rRNA from 1 species